UACGAAGGGGACUAGCGUUGUUCGGAAUCACUGGGCGUAAAGCGCACGUAGGCGGAUGUGUCAGUCAGGGGUGGAAUCCCGGGGCUCAACCUCGGAACUGCCUUUGAUACAGCACGUCUCGAGUCCGGAAGAGGUGGGUGGAAUUCCUAGUGUAGAGGUGAAAUUCGUAGAUAUUCGCAAGAACACCAGUGGCGAAGGCGGCUCACUGGCCCGUAACUGACGCUGAGGCACGAAAGCGUGGGGAGCAAACAGG
rnacentral:rRNA from 1 species